rnacentral:lncRNA from 1 species
UGCUAGGCACUCCCUCAAAAUGUGUUUUCCUUUGCAGCAAGAUCUGCACGGCUCUCCCUGGCUUGUUUGCAAUCAAAGCUUCCCUGUGAAUACUGAGCACCGGCCUCAUGAUGCRGCCCAAACAAGUGAUACUCCAGAUGCAACCCAGAACAGUUCUGGUGUGACAUGAAAGCAGCUCCACUCUGCAGCAGUACAAAGAUGGAGAGCCUGGAUCACGCUGGGACAACUUGCCCCAGGCCCCAAAGCAGGAGGAGCAGUCCCUGUGGAGACCGUCAGUCGAGCGGUACCCAGAGUUCGCCACCGGACCGUGCUCCUUUGCUCUCCAGGGGUUGCGAGUUCAGCUGGAAACCGCAGUGCUUCUGGAUGACGUUUUCCUCUCCUCCCAGUGAAUCAGCCUUUUAUUUACUCUUUGGAAUGCAAAGUAACAGGACACCCUGUGAGUUUUAUCUCUCUCUCUCAAUCUUUUGUAUCCCUGGCUGAGUUGCCCGACCGGAUUGAACGUUUCAGCUGCAGGCAUAGAUGGGGUGGUUUCAGGGCUGUCUGGCAGGAAUCUGGGUGGGAGGGCACUGCCAGUGAAAUUUGAAUUUAGGAGUCUCACUGAGAACCGAAUCCUUGAGACAUACGGCAGUGAAGAAAACGCUUUGUCACUGACUGUUUGAAUCCAGCCCUUCGCUGCUGUGGCUGUGUGGAUGGAUAGUGCUCGUUUGUGGAGCUAGAAUUACYGGGAACUGCCUCCGCCAGAAGACGUUUGCCCCUGCAGGCAGCCUGCCUUCCCUGCUUGUGUAAGCGGCUGCUUUUCCCCCUCUUUUCACUGCACAGCAUUUCCAGGGCUGGGAGCYGAUGCAGAAGUAGUCUGCCUGUUCAGGUGGCGAUUGCUGCUCCAGCAGCUAAUUCCUGUCUCCUUUGCGCCUCUUGUGUGGGUCGAACUCGCCCUGGUUUAGCUCUUGCAACUUGAAUACAGUUAUAACAAAGAUGGACGUGGUUCUCAGAGUUUAAAUGGAGCCUAAAGCAAGUGAUUUCCUUCCUCCUAAAGGUGUGUUAAGCCUCAUCGAGCUGCUGCCAGAACACCGUUGUGGCCACACUGAUAUAAAAAGACAAGCUGAGGCGGAAGAGGUGACAGCUUUUAUUUAAUGAACCGAUAUAGGUGAGAAGAAACCGAGGUUUUGUUUGUUGCUGAUUACUGCCACUGCAUGUGGGUAAGUUAUUUGAUCUUUCUGCUUCAGUUACAUCCUUCUUCAUACUGGAGACAGUGACUUGGCUGGGUUUGGCAGCCAUCAGUCAAACUAGAGACCCGUGCAAGUAUCUGUCACUGCAAAAGCACGUGACAGACUCUUUAUUGAGAGCUGCCGCUUCGAUGAUCUGGGUCUGUACAGUGCCCAGAAAAAGGGGGCCCCGAGCUACCACGAUGACUUAGCCRUUACUGCAGCACAGGCACUAAAUAAAUCAUCGCUUUAGCAGCUAAGAAACA